AACGUUACNNNNNNNNNCCUCGGCGGGAUCUUCUGCCCCGGGUGCGUCGNNNNNCCGGACCAAGGCGCCCGCCGGAGGAAUCAACCAAAACUCUUAUUGUAUACCCCCUCGCGGGUUUUUUUUAUAAUCUGAGCCUUCUCGGCGCCUCUCGUAGGCGUUUCGAAAAUGAAUCAAAACUUUCAACAACGGAUCUCUUGGUUCUGGCAUCGAUGAAGAACGCAGCGAAAUGCGAUAAGUAAUGUGAAUUGCGGAAUUCAGUGAAUCAUCGAAUCUUUGAACGCACAUUGCGCCCGCCAGUAUUCUGGCGGGCAUGCCUGUCCGAGCGUCAUUUCAACCCUCGAACCCCUCCGGGGGGUCGGCGUUGGGGAUCGGCCUUCCUUCACGGGGGCCGUCUCCGAAAUACAGUGGCGGUCUCGCCGCAGCCUCUCCUGCGCAGUAGUUUGCACACUCGCAUCGGGAGCGCGGCGCGUCCACAGCCGUUAAACACCCAACUUUCUGAAAUGUUGACCUCGGAUCAGGUAGGAAUACCCGCUGAACUUA
rnacentral:rRNA from 1 species